GACGAACGCUGGCGGCGUGCCUAAUACAUGCAAGUCGAGCGGACAGAAGGGAGCUUGCUCCCGGAUGUUAGCGGCGGACGGGUGAGUAACACGUGGGUAACCUGCCUGUAAGACUGGGAUAACUCCGGGAAACCGGAGCUAAUACCGGAUAGUUCCUUGAACCGCAUGGCUCAAGGAUGAAAGACGGUUUCGGCUGUCACUUACAGAUGGACCCGCGGCGCAUUAGCUAGUUGGUGAGGUAACGGCUCACCAAGGCGACGAUGCGUAGCCGACCUGGGAGGGUGAUCGGCCACACUGGGACUGAGACACGGCCCAGACUCCUACGGGAGGCAGCAGUAGGGAAUCUUCCGCAAUGGACGAAAGUCCGACGGAGCAACGCCGCGUGAGUGAUGAAGGUUUUCGGAUCGUAAAGCUCUGUUGUUAGGGAAGAACAAGUGCAAGAGCAACUGCUUGCACCUUGACGGUACCUAACCAGAAAGCCACGGCUAACUACGUGCCAGCAGCCGCCGUAACAC
rnacentral:rRNA from 1 species